GAUGAACGCUGGCGGCGUGCCUAAUACAUGCAAGUCGAGCGAACGGACGAGAAGCUUGCUUCUAUGAUGUUAGCGGCGGACGGGUGAGUAACACGUGGAUAACCUACCUAUAAGACUGGGAUAACUUCGGGAAACCGGUGCUAAUACCGGAUAAUACUUUGAACCGCAUGGUUCAAAAGUGAAAGACGGUCUUGCUGUCACUUAUAGAUGGAUCCGCGCUGCAUUAGCUAGUUGGUAAGGUAACGGCUUACCAAGGCAACGAUGCAUAGCCGACCUGAGAGGGUGAUCGGCCACACUGGAACUGAGACCCGGUCCAGACCCCUACGGGAGGCAGCAGUGGGGAAUCUUCCGCAGUGGGCGAAAGCCUGACGGAGCAACGCCGCGUGAGUGAUGAAGGUCUUCGGAUCGUAAAACUCUGUUAUUAGGGAAGAACAUAUGUGUAAGCAACUGUGCACAUCUUGACGGUACCUAAUCAGAAAGCCACGGCUAACUACGUG
rnacentral:rRNA from 1 species